AGGACGAACGCUGGCGGCGUGCUUAACACAUGCAAGUCGAGCGGAAAGGCCCUUCGGGGUACUCGAGCGGCGAACGGGUGAGUAACACGUGAGUAAUCUGCCCCUAGCUCUGGGAUAGCUCCGGGAAACCGGGAUUAAUACCGGAUACGACCACCUUAGACAUCUUUUGUGGUGGAAAGAAUUUCGGCUAGGGAUGAGCUCGCGGCCUAUCAGCUUGUUGGUGGGUAACGGCCUACCAAGGCGACGACGGGUA
rnacentral:rRNA from 1 species